CACAGAGUCCAGUGGGGCAAUAGUUUAAGGACAUUGCCGAGAGAUAUUGUAUCAAAGAAGUUUAAUUCCUGUAACAUAGUGAUUAUGUUAUAAACACAUAAAUAAUGAUUUUGUUUUAGUAGUAAAAUGGCGAAAAUCCGAAAUCAUU
rnacentral:ncRNA from 1 species